rnacentral:sRNA from 1 species
UUGACAGGCCCUGGAGACUGAUGUCCUCUGUUUAUUCACUGAACAGGUAGCAGCUGUGGAAACUUCCUCAUCACUGCUUCAUCACCAUGGUGCUUUAACUCCAUUCUGGAAGCGUCAUCUCUAGGGAUGGGAGGCUAUUUCCAUCUCUAUAUAGCCAUUUAUACUCCUUUGUCU